UACGGAGGGUGCGAGCGUUGUCCGGAAUCACUGGGCGUAAAGGGCGCGUAGGCGGUCUAUCAAGUGAGAUGUGAAAUCCCCGGGCUUAACCUGGGAACUGCAUCUUAAACUGGUGGGCUGGAGUACUGUAGAGGAUAGUGGAAUUUCCGGUGUAGCGGUGAAAUGCGUAGAGAUCGGAAGGAACAUCAGUGGCGAAGGCGACUGUCUGGACAGAUACUGACGCUGAGGCGCGAAAGCGUGGGGAGCAAACAGG
rnacentral:rRNA from 1 species